rnacentral:SRP_RNA from 1 species
GCCGGGCGUGGUGGCGCAUGCCUGUAAUCCCAGCUACUCGGGAGGCUGAGGCAGGAGAAUCGCUUGAACCCGGGAGGCAGAGGUUGCGGUGAGCUGAGAUCAUGCCAUUGCACUCCAGCCUGGGUUAAAAGAGCGAAACUCUGUCUCAA